GGGUGUGAUAUUCUCUGCACUUAUGCAUCGGAUCCCAUCGAAACUCCGAAGUCAAGUGUGCUUGGGCGAGAAUGGUACUAAGAUGAACUUUGUCGUAGGACUUCCACAGACACAGUCA
rnacentral:rRNA from 1 species